rnacentral:rRNA from 1 species
GCUCCAAUAGCGUAUAUUAAAGUUGUUGCAGUUAAAAAGCUCGUAGUUGGAUUUCUGGUUUGAGCGUCCGGUCCGCUUCCUCUGGAAGUGUGUUACUAAGGAUGUUUGAGCCAUUUUUUGUGAGGACGUUCAUCUGUCAUUCAGUUGAUGGGUGAAUGGACUUGCAUCGUUUACUGUGAAAAAAUUAGAGUGUUUAAGCA